CCCAAAGCUUCUCAACUCCAAACGAAACAACUCCUUCAGCCAUAAUUGCUCGUUGAAAAUCAUCAACGAUGAAGAAAGCGAUCAGUUUUAUCAAAACUCUAAGCUAAAAGUUGACUCCAAAGACAACAUAAAAAAAAUAAAAAUAACAAUCGGACCAUUUCGAAGAAGUUGCUUGGGUCAUUAAACCGUUGAUUCAGUCGUAUCAUUACUUAUUGAAUUCUCCAGCUCAUUCACAUUAAUGCCUCAAUUCUGCAUAACAUAUGUCAUAUAUAGCAGUAGAAAACUUGAGAGACUAAAAUUUCAAUUAGAGGCACACAAAACCUUGCACUGUUGGAAACUAAUAAGAAGUCCAAAUUUUUACCAGGAUUAUACGAGCAUAUAUAUAUAUAAUAUUUACACUGUAACAGUUUUAUCAUUCGAGAGUAAACACACCAAUUACUCAUUCUAUAUUUAUAAAUGUCAACUUAUCUUAAGACAAGACAGACCACCACGUUCGUCGCACUGUAACUUAAUUUAUUCUAAAUUAUGAUAAACUAACUAUAUGUGUGUAUGUUGUUGACAAAAAAA
rnacentral:lncRNA from 1 species